UCCCGCAGCAAUGCGGGAUGAUGGCGACCGGCAAACGGGUGCGGAACACGUACACAACCUUCCUUUAAGUGGGGAAUAGCCCGGGGAAACCCGGAUUAAUACCCCGUAACAUAAUGAAGUGGCAUCACUUUAUUAUUAUAGCUCCGGCGCUUUAAGAUGGGUGUGCGACUGAUUAGGCAGUUGGCGGGGUAACGGCCCACCAAACCUACGAUCAGUAACUGGUGUGAGAGCACGACCAGUCACACGGGCACUGAGACACGGGCCCGACUCCUACGGGAGGCAGCAGUAAGGAAUAUUGGUCAAUGGACGCAAGUCUGAACCAGCCAUGCCGCGUGGAGGAUGAAGGUCCUCUGGAUUGUAAACUUCUUUUAUCUGGGAAGAAAUCCACGAAUUCUUUUGUGGUUGACGGUACCAGAUGAAUAAGCACCGGCUAACUCCGUGCCAGCAGCCGCGGUAAUACGGAGGGUGCAAGCGUUAUCCGGAUUCACUGGGUUUAAAGGGUGCGUAGGUGGGCAGGUAAGUCAGUGGUGAAAUCUCCGGGCUUAACUCGGAAACUGCCAUUGAUACUAUCUUUCUUGAAUACCGUGGAGGUCAGCGGAAUAUGUCAUGUAGCGGUGAAAUGCUUAGAUAUGACAUAGAACACCAAUUGCGAAGGCAGCUGGCUACACGAAUAUUGACACUGAUGCACGAAAGCGUGGGGAUCAAACAGGAUUAGAUACCCUGGUAGUCCACGCCCUAAACGAUGGAUACUCGACAUACGCGAUAUACUGUGUGUGUCUGAGCGAAAGCAUUAAGUAUCCCACCUGGGAAGUACGAUCGCAAGAUUGAAACUC
rnacentral:rRNA from 1 species